rnacentral:lncRNA from 1 species
GAAGGAAAAUAAGUAGUAUUAUGGGGAAGGGAAGGGAAGGGAAGGGAGGAAGAUAAUUGAAUCAAUGUAACCCUAAAACUGAAAGAUAGAAGCAAAGAGUUAACAGUAGUACCGGAAAAUACCUAAAACAGAGCAAAUAGCUACAAACACAAUACUAGCACCAAUGGCAGGGAUGGACUAAUUAAUAUGUCAAAAACAACACUAACAUCAAAAGGACAUGCAACGAUGAAUUAUACUAUUAAAAUUCUAACGUCAAAUCGACGUUUGACGUUAACUCAGAGAUUCGUCAAAGGAAAACUGUUAAGGCAUGGGUCCUCCGACUGUUAAGGCAGCGAUUCAAAGCAGAAGAGCAGAGAAGAAAGGGAAGAAGAAGAAUAUCAUACCUGGAACUUAGCGUUGAAGAAGAAAGAAGAUCUUCUGAAAAACCCUUUGAAAGCAGCGAAAGAAAAGAGUCCAAAGUAGCAGGCGUUUGGAUGAUUUUUAUUUUAUUUUAAAAAAAUAUUUUUUGAGUUAAGUUGAAAUUUGAAAUUAUGUUUUGACAUAUAUUUUACUUAACAAAAAUAUUGUAAUUUUAUGAGUUGAAAAAAGAAUUUCCGAAAACUUAUAAAUUUUCAUGACAAACACUUUUUUUUUAAAUCCGGAAAAAAGAAAAAAGACCUAUCCAAGUUAGUUUGAAUAAAUAGAGAACCUUUUCUUCUGUGUGAAUCAAUGUAACCCUAAAACUGAUAGAUAGAGCAAAGAGUUAACAGUAGUACCGGAAAACACCUAAACGAAGCAAACAGCUACAAACACAACACUAACACCAAUGGCAGGGAUGGACUAAUUAAAAUGUCAAAAGCAACAACUAUAAACACAACACUAAAACCAAAAGGACUUGCAACGAUGAAUUAUACAAUUAAAAUUCGACGUUUGACGUUAAUUCAGAGAUUCGUCAAAGGACACUGUUAAGGCAUGGGUCCUUCAACUCUACACUAAAGUCCCCUUCGAUUGAAGGAUUCACCGAUGGAUUUAAUGAGUUGAUUGCGCAAUAAGGAGGAUGCCAUUUCAAACGGUGUUGUGGAGAGCAGAGAAAAGCAAUUGGGGAAGAAGCAACAGCAGAAAAAGAAGAAAGAAGAAAAAAAUGGCGAUUCAGAGAAAAGAAGAGCUUAGAAGAUCAUACCUGGAACUUAGCCUUGUGAAUUGAUCGCAGUCCUGGGUUUAUAUUGAAUGUGGA